UGGGGAAUCUUGCGCAAUGGGCGAAAGCCUGACGCAGCAACGCCGCGUGCGGGAUGACGGCCCUUCGGGUUGUAAACCGCUUUCAGCAGGGACGAAAAUGACGGUACCUGCAGAAGAAGCCCCGGCUAACUACGUGCCAGCAGCCGCGGUAAUACGUAGGGGGCAAGCGUUGUCCGGAUUUAUUGGGCGUAAAGAGCUCGUAGGCGGUUCAGCAAGUCGGAUGUGAAAAAUCUGGGCUCAACCCAGUGAAGCACCCGAUACUGCUGUGACUAGAGUCCGGUAGGGGAGUGUGGAAUUCCUGGUGUAGCGGUGAAAUGCGCAGAUAUCAGGAGGAACACCAACGGCGAAGGCAGCACUCUGGGCCGGUACUGACGCUGAGGAGCGAAAGCGUGGGGAGCGAACAG
rnacentral:rRNA from 1 species